rnacentral:rRNA from 1 species
UGGUGGAGUGAUUUGUCUGGUUAAUUCCGUUAACGAACGAGACCUUGACCUGCUAAAUAGUUACUGGAAUCGUGUAGGACAUAACCGUUGGGUUAGCUCUUCGGAGAAGCCCUCGGCUGUCUUACGUCAAGCGAUUCCAGGCCAACUUCUUAGAGGGACAAUCGGUGACUAGCCGGUGGAAGAUCGAGGCAAUAACA